rnacentral:vault_RNA from 1 species
GUGCUGGUGUAGCUCAGUGGUUACUUCGAUUGCAACUUCUCUCCUGUAGAGAUCUUCGACCUCCAUCCCUUCGUGGGAUCGAACCACGGGCGCUGUCCAGUGCUUUU